rnacentral:rRNA from 1 species
AUUGAACGCUGGCGGCAUGCCUUACACAUGCAAGUCGAACGGAAGCGGGCCUCUGGCUCCCGUCUUGUGGCGCACGGGUGUGAAAUACACCUAGACGUGUCCGUUCGUGUGGGAGAACGCGUCCGAAACCUUGCUAUUACCCCAUACACUCUCUGGGGGAAAGCGGGGGGGCGCAUCGCCCUUCACGCACUCAGCGGCGGAUGGCGCAUUAGGUAGUUUGUGGGAUAAAAGCGUAUCAAGCCGACGAUCUGUAACUGGGCUGAGAGGAUGAUCAGCCACACUGGGACUGAGACACGGCCCAGACUCCUACGGGAGGCAGCAGUGGGGAAUAUUGGACAAUGGGCGAAAGCCUGAUCCAGCCAUGCCGCGUGUAGGAUGAAGGACUUCGGAUUGUAAACCGCUUUUGUACGGGAAGAAGAGCCUUAAGUUAAUACAGGGCGGUCAUGACGGUACCAAAAGAAUAAGCACCGGCUAACUACGUG